GCCUAGUUAGCUUAGUUGGUAGUGCGUCUGCCUUGUAAGCGCUAGACCGCGGGUUCGAUUCCCGCCCGGGCC
rnacentral:tRNA from 1 species